rnacentral:rRNA from 1 species
UACGUAGGUGGCUAGCGUUGUCCGGAUUUACUGGGCGUAAAGCGCGCGUAGGCGGUUUGAAAAGUCCAUGGUGAAAUCUCCCGGCUUAACCGGGAGGGGUCUGUGGAUACUCUCAGACUUGAGUACCGUAGAAGAAGAUGGAAUUCCCGGUGUAGUGGUGAAAUGCGUAGAUAUCGGGAGGAACACCAGUGGCGAAAGCGGUCUUCUAGGCGGUAACUGACGCUGAGGCGCGAAAGCGUGGGGAGCAAACCGG